GGAGCAAGGCCGGGCGCGAUGCGGGAUCGUCAGCUCGAUUUGCGAUCGAGCGGGGUUUGACUCCGCUUGUGCCGGCUCUUCCCACAGCGCCUGUGGGAGAGGAUUUUAUGGCCAGCGGGUGUAGCUCAGCCUGAGCGCUGGCGCCGGGGCUGUCCCCGGAGCAGGGUCGGGGCAGCCCCGGCUGAGGAGCCACGAGGGCAGGAACGGGCCCGAGGUUUGGCUGCUCUGGGAGCUGAGCUGGUGAUGAUAAAAGUUAUCCCUGUCUGAAACUGAUCUUUCCUCUGUGGAAGUAUCACUCUGAGGCUCGGCGUUAAAGACGCAGAAGUAAAGGAAUGCUUUGCUACGUGAACUCACUCUGUCCUUUUCCUCCGUUUCAGAGCCUGGCACGGUGUUGGGAAAGGAUAAAAACACUCAGCUGCCUGGGGACCUGAUUUAUCUACUGGACUGGCAGCACAGCUGCACAGUGGAGGAAAUGGUCCUGCAGAGUCCUGGGGCUGCUGUUGCCCAAACACAGCUUUGGCAAGAGGGCAGCUGCUAAGCUGGGCUUAAGCUGCUCUAGAAGCAACAGAAGAAAGGUUGUCCUGGACUGAGUGUCACAGAUGGCCACUGAUAAGUCACUUGUGUAACCACAGGCUCCUCCUCACUGCUCAGGGGUUGCUGCAACCACACCAUAGGAGAUCUGAUCUACAGGUGGCUGGAUGAAAAAGUGGUUCCCUGGUUUCUUCUGUUCCAGAAUAAAAUAAAUUAUGGGAAAUCUUGUGAGUUGAA